GCCGGGGUGGCGGAAUUGGUAGACGCGCUGGUCUCAAACACCAGUGGAGUUCGCUCCGUGUCGGUUCGAUUCCGACCCUCGGCA
rnacentral:tRNA from 1 species